rnacentral:rRNA from 1 species
CCCGUUUAAUCCUUCCAGUAGUCAUAUGCUUGUCUCAAAGUUUAAGCCAUGCAUGUGUAACAAUGAACAAAUUCAGACUGUGAAACUGCGAAUGGCUCACUAAAUCAGUUAUAGUUUGUUCGGUGGUAUCUACUACUCGGAUAACCGUAGUAAUUCUAGAGCUAAUAUGUGCAACAAACCCUGACUUCUGGAAGGGAUGCAUUAAUUAGAUAAAAGGUCGACGUGGGAACUGCCCAUUGCUGCGAUGGUUCAUGAUAACUCAAUGGAUCCCACAGCCAUCGUGCCGGUAAUGCAUCAUUCAAAUUUUUGCCCUAUCAACUUUUGAUGGUAGGAUAGUUGCCUACCAUGGCGAUGACGAGUGAUGAAGAGUUAGGGUUCAAUUUCGGAGAGGGAGCUUGAGAAAUAGCUACCACAUCUAAGAAAGGCAGAAGACGCUCAAUUUACCCAAUCCUGACUCGGAGAGGUAGUAACAAUAAAUAACAAUAUCGGGCUCAAUGAGUCUUGUAAAUAGAAUGUGUACAAUCUAAAUCCCUUAAUGAGGAUUCAUUGGAGGGAAAGUCUGGUGCCAAAAGCCGCGAUAAUUCCAGCUCCAAUAGCAUAUAUUUAAGUUGUUGUAGUUAAAAAGGUCGUAGUUGGACUUGGGGAUAGGCUGGCCGGUCCGCCUAUGGUGUGCACCAGUCGUCUCAUCCCUUUUGUCUGCUAUGCGCUCAUGGCCUUUACUGGUCGGGCUGUGCCUCCGACGUUGUUACUUUGAAGAAAUUAGAGUGCUCAAAGCAAGCCUAUGCUCUGUAUACAUUAGAAUGGGAUAACAUUAUAGGAUUUUGGUCCUAUUAUGUUGGCCUUCGGGAUCAGAGUAAUGAUUAACAAAACAGUCGGGGACGUUCGUAUAUCAUCGUCAAAGAUGAAAUUCUUGGAUUUAUGAAAGACGAACAACUGCAAAAGAAUUUUCCAAGGAGUUUUUCAUUUAUCAAGAACAAAAGUUGGGGGCUCGAAGACGAUCAGAUACCAUCCUAGUCUCAACCAUAAAUGAUGCCAACAAGGGAUAGGUGGAUGUUACUUUUAGGACUCCGCCGACACCUUUUGAGAAAUCAAAGUUUUUGGGUUCCGGGGGGAGUAUGUUCAUAAGGCUUAAACUUAAAGGAAUUGAUGGAAGGGCCCCACCAGGAGUAGAUCCUGCGGCUUAAUUUGACUCAACACGGGAAACUUACCAGGUCCAGGCAUAGUGAGGACUGACAGACUAAGUACUCUUUCUUGAUUCUAUGGGUUGUGGUGUAUAGUUGUUCUUAGUUGGUGGAGCGAUUUGUCUGGUUAAUUCCAUUAAUGAGUGAGACCUCAGUCUGCUAACUAGAUAUGUAGAGGUAUCCCUUCACGGCCAUCUUUUUAGAUGGACUACGGCCUUUUAGACAGCGCAAGUUUGAAGGAAUAACAUGUCUGUGAUGCCCUUAGAUAUUCUAGGCCACACGCGCGCUACACUGAUGUAUUCAAUGAGUUUAUAGCCUUGGCCGAUAGGCCCUAGUAAUCUUUAAAAUGUCAAUGGACGUCACAGCAAGUGGUGAUUGUAACUCAACUCUCUUUAUAGUCGUUG